rnacentral:rRNA from 1 species
GACGGGGGGUCCAAGCGUUGUUCGGAAUCAUUGGGCGUAAAGCGUGUGCAGGUGGCUCUGUAAGUUGGAUGUGAAAGCCCCGGGCUCAACUCGGGAAGUGCAUUCAAAACUACAAAGCUUGAGUAAGGAAGAGGGUCGUGGAAUUCCCAGUGUAGAGGUGAAAUUCGUAGAUAUUGGGAAGAACACCGGUGGCGAAGGCAGCUCGCUGGGACGGUACUGACGCUGAGGUGCGAAAGCGUGGGGAGCGAACAGG